AGCGUUUUUCAAAAUCGGAGUUGGCAACACUGACGCCGAAGUGAUUUGUCAACGCGUCUUGUGUUAAUUUUUUUGCGGUUAUCUAUCACAUCACAGAUCUAACAACUUACAAGUUCAAUGGAGUAAGUGAUCGAAUCUUUAAAAACAUGGGAGUUGGAGAACUUAAUACGAAAAUUCACCACCCCGGAAUCGGACGCUAAUAAAACCAUGUUCCGAUGGUAAUAGGCGACGCCCAGCGUGUCCGGGUGUUGAAAUAAGUGCAAAACUGCUCUCCGCUCGCCUUUUGUCCACCAACGGGUUCACGCCGCGUCGCCUAAUCCUCGCGCCGGUCGCCAGCAUUCCCCGCUGUGUUCCGGUAACCUACAGGCGGCAAGCUGACGCUGCCGUCAUCCACACGACACCAUCUCUGAGGCGGCUGACGUGGCAGUCGUGGUGGUCUGAGGCGGCUGACGUAGCACGUUUGAGACCCUGAUGGAUUUUUCUGAGUUUAACAUAAGCACAGACCUAAUAGUUAUAGAAACUUCAGAAAAGGAAAACUUGUCCUCGGAAAAGGAAAAUGUGCCAUCUGCAAUUGCUGAGAAGAAAGCAGAGCCCAGUUAUAAUUCCAGGAUUGUGGAAAAGUCAUUGGACUCUGCAUCACUAUUUUGAAAAUAUUCUGCUCUCAAAAAACCACAAGGAUAUUCUUUGCGGCUUAACGACUUCAAAAGCACAUGAAAUUUACUAGGACAAUUUGUUUAUAAAUUUUCCAUCAAUGAAAAUAAAUCUUCAGGAACAGCUGAAAUACAAAAAGUCGAACUUACUGCACUUACCAAUUCGCCCUAUGAGGAAACAACGAAUAUAGCCGGAUUUCUCACCAUUCCAUUUUUGCUGAACACUGCGGCAGUCCGCCAAAAGAAGAAGCGAGGUUCCGGUGCAAGUCAAAAUUGGAAGCCCAGUAAAAUGGAAGUAAGGGAAGGUUUCAUAAAGCAUAUCCGCUCUAGUGUAGAAAUUAGCCAGACCAUCGAACUUCGCAUAGCCACACUUCAAAAAAUAGGAUUGUCAUGCCAGCCAUACAUAAUUGUUGUGGGUGAGUCUCUUGAAAAAAUCGAAUCAUUUCUAGUUGUUGUCAGCAGAUCGAUAAUCUAUGAAAGACAGUCCAUUAUGAACGCAGUAGAUACGUGCUACAAAAUAUAUAAUACAAUGAAAAUAUAAUACAUUGUACUUACUGGUGAACUCUGGUAUUAAGACGAUACAGGAGUGAUCUAUUCUCCAUACAAACGCUCUCGACUAUUUCCUCCCUGGUUUUUCAAGAUACAGCAAUGAUUUUUUCAAGACAGAUU